CUCAGUAACACGUGGAUAACCUGCCCUUAGGGCUGGCAUAACCCCGGGAAACUGGGGAUAAUUCCGGAUAGUUCAUGGUAGCUGGAAUGCUCCAUGAUCGAAAGCUAUUGCGCCUAAGGAUGGGUCUGCGGUCUAUCAGGUAGUAGUGGGUGUAAUGUACCUACUAGCCGACGACGGAUACGGGUUGUGGGAGCAAGAGCCCGGAGAUGGAUUCUGAGACAUGAAUCCAGGCCCUACGGGGCGCAGCAGGUGCGAAAACUUUACAAUGCGGGAAACCGCGAUAAGGGGACACCGAGUGCCAGCAUCUUAUGUUGGCUGUCCGCAUGUAUAAAUCACAUGUGUUAGCAAGGGCCGGGCAAGACCGGUGCCAGCCGCCGCGGUAACACCGGCGGCCCGAGUGGUGGCCACUAUUAUUGGGUCUAAAGGGUCCGUAGCCGGUUUGGUCAGUCUUCCGGGAAAUCUGACGGCUUAACCGUUAGGCUUUCGGGGGAUACUACC
rnacentral:rRNA from 1 species